AAAUGUUUUAUAUCAUAACCAAAACAAGAAUCGUAAUCCCGAAUCACACAACCACAGCUCCCUUUUGUGUGUUUAAACUUGUUAACUGAACGAGUCAACACAAAGAGAGGAGCUUCUUCUGUAAGAAAAGAUGCAGAAGGACACGGGAAUCGCACAAGAUCAACAACAUCUUCCACCAGGAUAUCCAGCUGCAGUAGAGGUCCCUGAACAACCGGGAGAAGACAACAACAAGAAAAAGAAGAUGGAGACAAAGCAGAGAGGAGACAAAGGCUUCAUUGAAGGAUGUCUCUUUGCACUAUGCUGCUGCUGGAUUUGUGAAAUGUGUUUCUAAGACAAAGAAAGAACACUCUACAGUGUGUCAAGCUUCCUUGUGUAUCUAUCUAUUAGUUGGCUUUUAAUAUUAUCACCGAGAGGGAUUGCAGGGACUAUAUAGUAGCUCAAUCUCAAAACUUCCUAUACUGUGUGGUGUUUGUAUGUAUUGAAAGAAGAUUAUUACCAUAUAUAUCAGCAACGUAAA